AUUGAACGCUGGCGGCAUGGCUAAAACAUGCAAGUCGAACGAGAACCCCUUCGGGGGGGACAGUGGCGAAAGGGCGAGGAAUACGAUCGUACGUACCCCGGAGGUGGGGGAGUAGCUGCGGGAAACUGCAAGUAAUACCCAUGUGCUCCACGGAGGAAAGGUUUACCGCCUUGGGAAGCGGCGAUCGUCCUAUCAGGUAGUUGGUGAGGUAAACGGCUCACCAAGCCGAAGACGGGUAGCGGGUGUGAGAGCAUGACCCGCCGCAUCGGGACUGAGACACUGCCCGGACUCCUACGGGAGGCUGCAGUAACCGAAUCUUCCGCAAUGGGCGAAAGCCUGACGGAGCAAUGCCGCGUGUGGGAUGAAGCAUCUACGAUGUGUAAACCACUGUCAGAGAAUAGAAUCAAUGAUCAUUCUCAAAGGAAGGGACCGGCUAAUCUCGUGCC
rnacentral:rRNA from 1 species